ACUUACCUCAGAUCUUACUGUUAGACCUAUUUCCUAGGCCUGUCGCGAUAUUCAAUAAAUCAAUUAAUCGCAUGAUAAUUAAAAUUAGCUCGAUCAUUUUUCU